UCGGACCUACGGGGGGCAGCAGUGAGGAAUAUUGGUCAAUGGGCGAGAGCCUGAACCAGCCAAGUCGCGUGAGGGAAGACGGUCCUAUGGAUUGUAAACCUCUUUUGCCGGGGAGCAAAAAGCGGUACGUGUACCGCAUCGAGAGUACCCGGAGAAAAAGCAUCGGCUAACUCCGUGCCAGCAGCCGCGGUAAUACGGAGGGUGCGAGCGUUAUCCGGAUUUAUUGGGUUUAAAGGGUGCGCAGGCGGGAGAUCAUGUCAGCUGUAAAAUGUCGGGGCUCAACCCCGGCCGGGCGUUGGAACGUG
rnacentral:rRNA from 1 species